CACGUAGGGGGCAAGCGUUGUCCGGAUUCAUUGGGCGUAAAGAGCUCGUAGGCGGUUCGAUAAGUCGGGUGUGAAGCCUCCAGGCUCAACCUGGAGACGCCACCCGAUACUGUCGUGACUAGAGUCCAGUAGGGGAGCGUGGAAUUCCUGGUGUAGCGGUGAAAUGCGCAGAUAUCAGGAGGAACACCAGCGGCGAAGGCGGCGCUCUGGGCUGGAACUGACGCUGAGGAGCGAAAGCGUGGGGAGCGAACAGG
rnacentral:rRNA from 1 species